rnacentral:rRNA from 1 species
AGCCUGCAACUCGGCUGCAUGAAGCUGGAAUCGCUAGUAAUCGCGGAUCAGAAUGCCGCGGUGAAUACGUUCCGGGUCUUGUACACACCGCCCGUCACACCAUGGGAGUUGGAAAUGCCCGAAGUCAGUGACCCAACCGGAAGGAGGGAGCUGCCGAAGGCAGGUUCGAUGACUGGGGUGAAGUCGUAACAAGGUAGC